rnacentral:rRNA from 1 species
CCUACGGGGGGCAGCAGUGAGGAAUAUUGGUCAAUGGACGAGAGUCUGAACCAGCCAAGUAGCGUGAAGGAUGACUGCCCUAUGGGUUGUAAACUUCUUUUAUAUGGGAAUAAAACGUUCCACGUGUGGGAUUUUGUAUGUACCAUAUGAAUAAGGAUCGGCUAACUCCGUGCCAGCAGCCGCGGUAAUACGGAGGAUCCGAGCGUUAUCCGGAUUUAUUGGGUUUAAAGGGAGCGUAGGUGGAUUGUUAAGUCAGUUGUGAAAGUUUGCGGCUCAACCGUAAAAUUGCAGUUGAAACUGGCAGUCUUGAGUACAGUAGAGGUGGGCGGAAUUCGUUGUGUAGCGGUGAAAUGCUUAGAUAUCACGAAGAACUCCGAUUGCGAAGGCAGUUCACUGGACUGCAACUGACACUGAGGCUCGAAAGUGUGGGUAUCAAACAGGAUUAGAUACCCUAGUAGUC